rnacentral:rRNA from 1 species
UACGGAAGGCAGCAGUGGGGAAUAUUGCACAAUGGGCGAAAGCCUGAUGCAGCUAUGCCGCGUGUAUGAAGAAGGCCUUAGGGUUGUAAAGUACUUUCAUCGGGGAGGAAAAAACAAAACUAAUAAUUUUAUUUCUUGACGUUACCCGAAAAAGAAGCACCGGCUAACUCCGUGCCAGCAGCCGCGGUAAUACGGAGGGUGCUAGCGUUAAUCAGAAUUACUGGGCGUAAAGAGCACGUAGGUGGUUUUUUUAAGUCAGAUGUGAAAUCCCUGGGCUUAACCUGGAACUGCAUUUUGAAACUGAAAUACUAGAGUAUCGUAGAGGGAGGUAGAAUUCUAGGUGUAGCGGUGAAGUGCGUGGAUAUCUGGAGGAAUACCUGUGGCGAAAGCGGCCUCCUAAACGAAUACUGACACUGAGGUGCGAAAGCGUGGGGAGCAAACAGGGAUUAGAUACC